UGAAGAUGUCAAUCCCACUAACCCGUAUCCGCUUCAAAAGAUGGCAGUACCUUGAUUCGGAGUUCGGUCAUGCCUCAGGACCAUCUAAAUUAUACUUUGACAUGGUAUUGUCUCUCUGCAGCAGUUACGUUUAUGGCUUUCAUGAGACUAAGACCAAAAAAGAUCCGCAGAUAGCAGACUCCAUUACAAGAUCCUCUCUAUCUUGUGAAAGAAGUUAUCUCAGGAAAAAUAAAAAUGUUGAUUUCAAAAUGUAAGGCUGUGAAAUCAAUGCUGGAAUAUAUAGUGUCAUGAAAUUGAUAAUUAUUAACAAAAUUUCCUGCUCAUUAAAUUAUCAUCAGCAAAUAACGUUGUCAACGUAUUGAACGUUGAGACCAGAGAUUUUAAGAGCAUAACUAGUGGUGCUGGUGUUGUAGUAAUUGUUUCCCUUCCUAUUGCAGGAGUGACAUCCACAACUUUUUAGAACACGAGAAAUGAGAAACUCUUGUGUUUCAUCCCUCUUUCCUUCUUUGUUUUCAUGAGGGAAGAGGUCUCGUGGGAAGAAGUAAAGAAACCAUAUAUGAUAUUGACUGCUGUAAUGUGAUCUUCCAGGAUGUUUGGGAACAAGGGAGGGCCAAAGUUUUGAUUGUAAAGUUUAGAAGUUUCCUGUGAGUCAGGUUUUUCAGUUGUUACCAUCUUCCAUCUUGCAGCAUAAUAAUGAAGAAAGCAUUCAUUCAUGUUAGUCGGAUAAUGAUACAAAAAUUCAUUUGUGAUUCCUCUUGCGUAUGUGAUGCUCUGCAUUCUUGUAUUAGAUUGUAACCAUCUUCAACAAUUUCAGUUAUUCACCCAUUGUGAUUUUACAUUUAACUAUUUAUAUACCAUGCCAAAUCUCCGAUCCAAGUUGCAGGACUCAUUUCUGUCCAAUGGCCAGCGUCAAAACCCAAAAAUAAAAUGAUCUCUAUCGUUCGAAUAAAAUAAGAAUUUACUGGAAACAAAAACUGGAGCUGAACAGGGGAAAGGUCAAGAGCUCUAAGACUCAAUUUCAUUUGAUGUAUGCACUGUACAAAAUGGUACGCGACAAGAGAACUGCUAAAUGGAUACAAAUCAAAGAAUUCCUAGACUCCUAUUAUAGGCAACCAAAUGGGAAAACAAAACCCUAUCAGAAAGAAUAAAAUGAAUACGAAACUAGAAAAA